CCUACGGGGGGCAGCAGUGAGGAAUAUUGGUCAAUGGACGAGAGUCUGAACCAGCAAAGUAGCGUGAAGGAUGACUGCCCUCUGGGUGGAAAACUUCUUUUAUAUGGGAAUAAAAUGUUCCACGUGCGGGAGUUUGUAUGUACCAUAUGAAUAAGCAUCGGCGAACUCCGUGCCAGCAGCCGCGGUAAUACGGAGGAUCCGAGCGUUAUCCGGAUUUAUUGGGUUUAUAGGGAGCGUAGGUGGGUUGUUAAGUCAGUUGGGAAAGUUUGGGGCUCAACAGUAACACUGCAGUUGAAACUGGCAGACGUGAGUACAGUAGAGGUGGGCGGAAUUCGUGGUGUAGCGGUGAAAUGCUUAGAUAUCACGAAGAACACCGGUUGCGAAGGCGGUUCACUGGACUGCAACUGACACUGAGGCUCGAAAGUGUGGGUAUCAAACAGGAUUAGAUACCCCUGUAGUC
rnacentral:rRNA from 1 species